rnacentral:lncRNA from 1 species
AUGGGCUCAACCACCCAUCCCAGAUGUGGUCUUCCCCACUCCACGCCCACCUCCUCCAGCCCGCAACCCAAUUCACUGCGCUGCCCACAAAAAUGCAGCCCAGAUUGGAAAGCAGCUGACGUCUGUGGCCAGCGUGACCCAACGACACGCACCAGGCCUUACCGGGGCGACCACCGCGCGGCCCCCGAGGCGCGGUACCAAGCGCGCGGACCUCGCCGCCGGACUGCGCCCAAAGCCGCGCGCCGCGGUGCCCGCGGGAGCCGCCGGUCGGAGCCCGCCAGCGGCGGCGGGAGAGCUCGGCUCGCGCCGGCUUCCCGGCAAAUUGCCGUUCCAGGCACAAUUUUUCCACUUCUGCUGCCGGCGGCCGCGGCGGUGAGAAGAGAAGCAGCCGUUCCCUCCCAUUCCCAGCAUCCGACACCCGUCCCGGUCCCGGGGACGGUCCUCUUCCCUCCCCGUGGGCUCCGGGGGCGCGGGAGCCAGGUUCCCGCGCCAGCCGCCGCGCACGCAGCCCGAGCUCCUCCCGCCCCGGCGGUUCCGUGCCCCCCACCCGCGCCGCCCGCCCCACCUGGCCGGGGCUGCGGGCUCUCUCUCCCGCAGCGCGCGCGGGGCCCGGCGACUCCAACUCACCCGGCCCGGGCUCAGCGUCUCCGGCUCCGAACUCGCAGCCUUCCCCCAGCCGGGGCUUUCCGUUACGCCUCCUCUCAGCUAGCCGCUCGGGGAAGGAGGAGGCGGCGGCGAGAGGAGGGGGCGAGGGAGGGGAGAGGAGAGGAGAUGGUCCCCGGGUGGGGGGAGGAGACGAGGCGAGAGCGCCGACCUCGGCGGCCGCCGGCGGGGCUAGCAAGGAGGGAGGAGAGAGAGGGGCGGGGGCAGAGAAAGAAAGAGGCGGCCGAGCCUCCCAGUCCAGGAUCCGGCCCCGCGCCGCUGCCCAGUCACCAUCGCCGCCCCCGUCCCGCUCUCGGGCCGGGCGUUCAGGGGGAGGGGUCGGAGCCCGGGGCUCUCCCGGCGCCUCGCGCGGGGCGGGGCGGGACGGCCGGGGGCGAGGCGGGGGCGGUGGCGGGACGAGGAGGCCCGGCCUCCGGAGGGGAGUGUCCUGCGGGGCCGGGGAGGCUGCUGGCGAGGCUGCUGGCGAAAGGGGAUCCCCGGGAGGAGGGGCGCAGGCCCCGGGGCCUGGGAGCGGGUCACUGCGCCCGCCGGGCAGCGGCGGCGCCUCCUGGAAUCCUGCGGAGGACCCCCGGGCCGCUCCGGGGAAACUUCGGGGGCAGUUUCGGGAAACUGCCUCAGGAGCGCCGAGAAUGCGCGCGGCCCAGGCAGGGAGCGGCGAAGUCGGAGUCGGGGGUGAUAGGCCGGACUCCUUCCGCGGAGCCCGGGCCCUGGAGCGCCCGAAGCAGUUCCCCGGGCCCGGGCCGGAGCGGGAAAAUGUCUGUCCGGCCAUCCGCGGGACUCCUAUACGGGAGGGUGGGUUGGGGCUUCCUGGACCCCCAUCUUCACCUUCCUCUCCCGGAGAGGAGGCUCCAGACGUACGUUUCUUUGCCCUGUGAUUCUCUAGGUGAGGAAACUUCAAGCAGUCACGAAGAAUAUUCAUAA